GCUGGGCAUGGUGGAGCAUAUCUGUAAUUCCAGCAGCUCAGGAGGCUGAGGCAGGAGGAUUCUGAGUUCAAAGCCAGUGUCAGCAAGUUAGCGAGGCCCCAAGCAACUCAGAGAGAUCCUGCAUCUA
rnacentral:sRNA from 1 species